rnacentral:hammerhead_ribozyme from 1 species
AUCCAGCUGAUGAGUCAAAAAAUAAGACGAAUCGCGCGUCCUAGAU